rnacentral:rRNA from 1 species
CCUACGGGAGGCAGCAGUGGGGAAUAUUGCACAAUGGGCGCAAGCCUGAUGCAGUCAUGCCGCGUGUGUGAAGAAGGCCUUCGGGUUGUAAAGCACUUUCAGCGGGGAGGAAGGCGUUAAGGUUAAUAACCUUGGCGAUUGACGUUACCCGCAGAAGAAGCACCGGCUAACUCCGUGCCAGCAGCCGCGGUAAUACGGAGGGUGCAAGCGUUAAUCGGAAUUACUGGGCGUAAAGCGCACGCAGGCGGUCUGUCAAGUCGGAUGUGAAAUCCCUGGGCUCAACCUGGGAACUGCAUUCGAAACUGGCAGGCUAGAGUCUUGUAGAGGGGGGUAGAAUUCCAGGUGUAGCGGUGAAAUGCGUAGAGAUCUGGAGGAAUACCGGUGGCGAAGGCGGCCCCCUGGACAAAGACUGACGCUCAGGUGCGAAAGCGUGGGGAGCAAACAGGAUUAGAUACCCUUGUAGUC